rnacentral:tRNA from 1 species
GCCGGCGUAACUCAGUUGGUAGAGUAACUGAUUCGUAAUCAGUAAGUCACCAGUUCGACUCUGGUCGUCGGCUCCA